rnacentral:lncRNA from 1 species
UUAUGAGCUUCUUAAGUAUGGCCUUAUUUAGAUAUCGGAAUAAGUUAUCAGAUGAUAACCUAUUCAAUGUCAAAAUUUUUGUAUGAUCGAUUGGAAGAUAGAAAUUUAAUUUUUGCUUUUUAGAAAGUUUUGACAUACAGAUUUGAUAAAAUAGCAUAUUUCUCUUACGAGAUAAUAUAUCUAAUUCCAAAAAAGUAACGUACGCGUGAAGGUUGAAUACACUAUUUCAUUAUAAAUAUUUGAUCACAUUCUUUAUCUUACAAAUAUAGAAUUAUAGGCUUCUGGAGUAAAUCAGAUUAAGUACUUUGAAUAAUAUGUCCAUGCAUCUAAACAUAGUCUAAAUCAAUAAGAAAUACACUGCACUGACAGUAGUCUACCCUUAGGCCCCGUUUGGUUCGGGGGAUAAGCGGGGAUAACAAAAGUUAUUCCCGUUAUUCUGCCAAACAGGGUGAAAUUUAGCUGGAAUAUUUUAUCCUGGUCAAACCUUGCUAUUCCCGGUUAUUCCGGAAUAGCAAGACAUCUGUUAUUCCACAAUUUUGGUGGAAUAGUGUUAUUCCAACACUUAAUUUCAAACUUAAUUAAAAUUAUAAAUUGAAUUAAAAUUAAAUUAUAUAAAUAUAAUAUGUUAUAUAUUAUAAUACAUUAUUCCCGCUCUCAAAAUUAAAGUUUCUUUUAAAUUUUAAAUUUAAAGUUUGAUAUUUUAAAAUUUUAAAAUUUAAAAUUUGAUAUUUUAUAUUUUCCAAAUUUAAAUUUGAUCUUAAAUUUAAAGUUUGAAAUUUUGAAUUUAAAAUUUUGAAUUUAAAAUUUGAGAUUUUAAAUUUAAAAUUUUAAUUUCAAAUUUUAAAAUUUCAAAGUUAAAAUUUUAAAUUUAAAAAUAUAAAUUUUAAAUUUUAAAAAUUUAAAUUCAAAUAUAAUAAGAGGGUAAUAUUAUUAUUUUUUAUUUAUAAAAAUCCACUAUCCUUCUUAUUCUAUCUUAUCUAACCAAAUGCUAUUUUUUUAUUCUCAGGAAUAACCCAAUUUUCAUCCAAACGUAAAAUUAAUCUAAUCCCCGUUUAUAUCUCAAUUUAUACCUAUUCCUGGAAUAGCCACUUUUUGCUUAUCCCCGAACCAAACGAUACCUUAGGGUAUAUUUGGUUCACCUAUUUUAGACUAUGGAAUCGGAAUGGAAUUCAUUGAUUCCGAUAGUUGCCGUUUGUUUUAUAGGAAUCGGAUUCCGAUUCCCAUUCCACUCCGGAAUGGAAAUAGCCAAAUCCAUUUAUGAUCCAAUCUGGCUUUGAAUUUCGGAUUGGCUCAUUUCAAAGUAUACUAUUCAAAAUCCUCUUUCAUCAACACCCACCUCCUCUCCCUUCAUUACUUUCCUCUCUCUUAAUCAAAACCCUCUCUCAAAAAUUUUAAAUUUUCAUUCCGAUUUUCAUUCCAAUAAUGAACCAAACAUUUUUGGAUGAUUCGUCAUUCCAUUUUCCAUUCCAAAGCAAUCCAAUUCCAUUUCUCACUCCUAUUCCAAUCAUGAACCAAACAUGCCCUUAGGAUCACCUCAACAGGAUCGAUCAA